AGACAGUGGAUGGUCAAGAACCUACUGAUUUGCUGGUUCAUACAGCCGAGGCCUCUGUUGUGCCAGAACUGCUUAGUAAGAAGACUACUUUGAAAAGGGUGACUUGAUUUCAUCUCAAUUUUUAUGUAUUUGAAACAUAAUUUAUCGUUGUGUUUGAUGGUUAACACUUAACAAGGUUCCUCUUUAUGGUUGAUUUUUAUGCCUUUAUUAUGAUUAUUAGAAUUUAAUUUGUUGUUCUGAAUUAUGAACAAUGGCCAUGAUCCUUAGCUUAGCUAUUAAGUAGAAGGUUUAGGAUAAAUUGGAAACUCACUCAUCUUUCUUCCUUGGCCGAACCACACACUCCACCAUUUUCAUCCUUUGGAAGCUUGUUUGAAAGCUAGGAGUUGUGAGCUUCCUCUUCUAAGGUACUAAAAUGAGGUGGUGAAGGAAGAUACUCAUUGGAUUGGCAAAGUGAAAAUAUGGAUUAGAUAUAGCACACUCUUUAAUUUCAAAUAUUAUAGGGUUAUGGAAGAAGGAAACGGU